UACGGAAGGGGCAAGCGUUGUUCGGAAUCAUUGGGCGUAAAGGGCGCGUAGGCGGCCUGCUAAGUCGGAUGUGAAAUCCCUCGGCUCAACCGAGGAACUGCAUCCGAUACUGGCGGGCUUGAAUCCGGGAGAGGGAUGUGGAAUUCCAGGUGUAGCGGUGAAAUGCGUAGAUAUCUGGAGGAACACCGGUGGCGAAGGCGGCAUCCUGGACCGGUAUUGACGCUGAGGCGCGAAAGCUAGGGGAGCAAACGGG
rnacentral:rRNA from 1 species